GAACUAUUGGUUAUCUCUGGGCACAAGAGACAAUCAUUUUUUCAUGCCAGAAGAUGUUGGUUUCAUCCUGGUUUGGAAGAGGAAUACCGCUGAAACCUUUAAAAAUAUCUGUGGGAUAAAAAACCCUGGUGUCUUCCCAGAAGCACAGGGUCUAAUAGAAACAAAUUGAGUCUUCACUUGGAUGAAAAUGCAACUAAACCUAGCCCAGCAACAGGGUUAUAAUCCUAGUGCAGAGAAUAUUUUGAGAAGACUUUCAUAGGCUUUAAUCAGACAACCUCAGGAUUUGAUAGUUAUAAGGAAGAAAAAAAUACUUGUGGUAACUCUUGAGUAACCAUGCAAUAAAGUCUGAAUAAUGGGUGAAGCUGAUGGUUCGUGGGAACCACUGUACAGUUUUAAAAUAACAGUUCCUAUUAAAGACUGCUCACUGUCUUCACAGAUCUCAGAAUGAACCAUCAAAAAAUAACCACUGUUUGUACCGCAGAGAGCACUCAAAUACCCUAAUCAUGGAGCAGAGCUUUGUUUGGAGCAGAUACUGUACCAACAAAGAAAAUAAGGCAGCAUCAAGACUGAUGAUGUGGCAGGAUUAGAACCUGAUCCAGGCUACGGUGGGGUAGCUGGCUCAUCUCAGUGGGAGAGCUGGAACGGAGUGUUAAAUUGCUGCGAGAAGAAACUGUUCCAAAGCCACGCAGAUUCUUCACAGUGCUUCCUACGCCAAACAUCCUCACUCCCACAGGGAAGAAAAGCAGCGUGGAAAGGUGGCAGUGCUCGUAAUCUGUGCGACUGGCACAGGAGGAGCAGCUUGUGAGCGGCCUCUGGCUCCACCGACUGGCAUGUGGUUCCCUGUAGUAGUGAAGCUGUGACGGGGCCCCAGCUGAUAUGGGGUCGGGGCUUUCCCCCUGCUCAUCUCCAGCACAGGGGCCCAGCACUCACAGCCAGUGCUGAAAGCACAAGAGAGAGCUGCCACUGGCAGCUUUUGUGCUGGUCUCAGAGUUGAGGCCCACUGGAGAUCUGGCAUCUGAGGAGCAGAGAGCAAGAGCCUCCAGGAGCCAGCAGCACCAGCAGGAAUGGGAGGCAAGCAAAACCCGUGAGUGGUUGGUGUUCCCAUUUAGCACUGCCCUAUUAAGCAGUGUUCUUUGCUAGAAAUAACACCAACCUCAAGUAUCUUCCUCUGGGAGGCAUUCCAGUUAGGAACUUUUCCCAUUUAAGUGAGAAAUGCGGGGUGUUAAGAAGUGUUCAGUCUGGACAACAGUCAAAUAGGAAAAAAAAAAUAAAUUAAAUAAAAUAAGUAAUUUAAGCUGGAGA
rnacentral:lncRNA from 1 species